CGAACGGAUAUAUGUUUUCGGUAAUAUAUAUUAGUGGCGCACGGGUGAGUAACACGUACAUAACUUAGCCCUCAAGCGGGGGAGUAGCCUUGGGAAACUGAGAGUAAUACCCCAUAGAAUUAUUGGACGGCAUCGUUUGAUAAUUAAAACUACGGUGUUUGGGGAUAGAUGUGCGUCUGAUUAGCUAGUUGGUGAGGUAACUGCUCACCAAGGCGACGAUCAGUAGGGGGGCGUGAGAGCGUGGCCCCCCCGCACGGGUACUGAGACACGGACCCGACUCCUACGGGAGGCAGCAGUAAGGAAUAUUGGUCAAUGGAGGGAACUCUGAACCAGCCAUGCCGCGUGAAGGAUGACGGCCCUCUGGGUUGUAAACUUCUUUUGGAUGGGGCGAAAAAACGGGAUUUAUCCUGGACUGACGGUACCAUCAGAAUAAGCACCGGCUAACUCCGUG
rnacentral:rRNA from 1 species